rnacentral:rRNA from 1 species
UAGUGGCGAACGGGUGAGUAACACGUGGGCAAUCUGCCCUGCACUCUGGGACAAGCCCUGGAAACGGGGUCUAAUACCGGAUGAUACCCGGGGGCGCAUGCCCUUGGGUUGAAAGCUCCGGCGGUGCAGGAUGAGCCCGCGGCCUAUCAGCUUGUUGGUGGGGUGAUGGCCUACCAAGGCGACGACGGGUAGCCGGCCUGAGAGGGCGACCGGCCACACUGGGACUGAGACACGGCCCAGACUCCUACGGGAGGCAGCAGUGGGGAAUAUUGCACAAUGGGCGAAAGCCUGAUGCAGCGACGCCGCGUGAGGGAUGACGGCCUUCGGGUUGUAAACCUCUUUCAGCAGGGAAGAAGCGAGAGUGACGGUACCUGCAGAAGAAGCGCCGGCUAACUACGUGCCAGCAGCCGNGGUAAUACGUAGGGCGCAAGCCGUUGUCCGGAAUUAUUGGGCGUAAAGAGCUCGUAGGCGGCUUGUCACGUCGGGUGUGAAAGCCCGGGGCUUAACCCCGGGUCUGCAUUCGAUACGGC